GAUGAACGCUAGCGGCAGGCCUAACACAUGCAAGUCGAGGGGUAGCAGGAUUAAGCUUGCUUAAUUGCUGACGACCGGCGCACGGGUGCGUAACGCGUAUGCAACCUACCUUAUACGGGGGUAUAGCCCGGAGAAAUUCGGAUUAAUCCCCCAUAGUGCUAAUGAAUCGCAUGGUUUAUUAGAUAAAGCAUUGCGGUAUAAGAUGGGCAUGCGUCCUAUUAGCUAGAUGGUGAGGUAACGGCUCACCAUGGCUACGAUAGGUAGGGGGCCUGAGAGGGUGGUCCCCCACACUGGUACUGAGACACGGACCAGACUCCUACGGGAGGCAGCAGUGAGGAAUAUUGGUCAAUGGGCGCAAGCCUGAACCAGCCAUGCCGCGUGCAGGAAGAAUGCCCUAUGGGUCGUAAACUGCUUUUAUUUGGGAAUAAACCUCUUUACGUGUAGAGAGCUGAAGGUACCAAAUGAAUAAGCACCGGCUAACUCCGUGCCAGCCGCCGCAGUAA
rnacentral:rRNA from 1 species